rnacentral:snoRNA from 1 species
AUCUCAAUAUGAUGAUUUAUUUCUACACCAAGAUCUCUGAAUUACUUAAUGAAGAGACUUUUAAAAUAAAAACGAUUUGCAUGUCAGUCUGAUUUUAUU